CUGGGGAGUAACGCCCUUUCCCUCCCUGCCCCCUUUUCAUUCCCCCUCUGCUUCGCGUCCCAAAUCGCAGCCCCCUCAGAAGCUGCCCUGCCACGCGUGGGGCGGCCCCAAAAGGAUGUCGGGCUGGGGUUUAGACAGGGACCCACGUCCCCGGCCCCAGCCCCGCCCCCACGGGGCCCGCGCCCGGCCGCCGGUCCCCAUUCCCGGACCACACGCAGUCACACUACAGCAUCAGCUGGAGAGCCAGCCCUAACUUUGAAUCUCCUUUGGUGAAUUAACCUCUUCAGAGAACUCCAAAGAUGUAAUUAUGUGGGGUCAAUGCAAAUAUUGCAGUUGAUUUAAGGGGGAAAUUGGAACUGGGCCUCAAAAUAGAGUAAAUGUCAUGAAAUUUUCCUCACAUCUGAAGCCAAACCAGCUCUUUUACUCUCUGUUAUCUUGUGAGUAAUUUUGAAGCAAAGAACAAAAUUUCCCCCUCAAGAAAAAAGCAGGAAUAGAGAAGUUCUGUUUUUUCUCCAACAACAAAACUUAAUUACAGGAUAAAAAUGCUGAUAAGCCAAACUACUAGCCUUUGUAAGAGAAAAGACAUUUUUCAUUUAGAAAAUGUAGGGACUUUUGCACCUGGGCAAACCGGAAGAUGGUGAAAAGAACUUUUGAACAAGAAUCUAUUUAUUUGACUGGUAGUUUUCAGCAUUUCCCCUGCUGUUCAAAGAAACUACUGUAUGAACUUGACCUCUUGAUUUUUGAUUCUGCAAUAAAGUCAUAAACCUCUGUCAUAUCAUAGGUUGGUAUUGUAUUUAGGAUCCUGGACUGGGACUCAGAAGAUCUGAGUUCAUUUUCUGGCUUCGACACAGGCUGUGUGACUUUGGUCAAGUUCACUUAAUCUGUGCGUCAGUUUUUUUUCCCCCUGUAAAAGGAGGAUAAUUGCACUUUCCUACCUCACAAGGGUGUAUUGAGUGAAGUACUGCAGUAGUGGGGGCCAUGUAACUAGAGAGAAGUAUCAAAUAACGUAGUCAUGUAACAGUCAAUUGCCUUGGAAACAUUUGAGAUGUCAAAAUGGUCCAAUCCUGUGGGCAGAAUUCUCAUUUACUUCACAACUGGGCCCAAAAUCAGCAUUAUAAAUUCCCUGCAGAAUAAAAUGCAGAUAUAGAAGACUGACGAAGAAGUUUAAAAAAAUUUGAUGUAUUCCUCACCCUCAUCCAAUUUCUGGUCAGUCCACAUUAUUUUUCAGACUUUUGUUUUCUUCAGGCCUCUUUGCAGCCUGGCAAAUGUCAUGAAAGUUUACCAGGUUAAACUCAAGAUCUAUUCAUCAGUAUUUUGCCAUGAUGAUUUGGCGGGGGAGUGGAAUUCUAUUAAAAAAUUGGGAUAGGCAAAUGUUGAAUCAAAUUUUUCAAGAUAAACCAUCGUGCUUCAGGAUCAAACAUUUUCUACCCUGUACUGAUCACUCUUAAGCAAAGAUUUUAAAUAUAUUUAUUGAAUUUAUUGAAUCCAUUGGUUGUCUCAUGUGACUAAUUUUGGAACAUGAGGUCUUUCUCCAGUAGAUCCCUGUUUUAAAUCAGGACUGUGUCAACAGAGGGCUGAGCUUAAUCUCUGAUGGCUGUCCAGUGGCCUGAGUGAAAUGUAUUGGCAGUUUCAGUCCACUUUCUCGGUAGUAUGCAGUUUGUACACAGCUGCCCCGAGAGGGAAGGUAUUCAGAAUCUUUCAUAUAGCACUCAAAUAAUAUGGCUAUUGGCUACUUACUGUGAUGUUGUCAUCCAUGUUAUUGGACAGUCAAAUCACGUGAAUGGAUAGUCAACAUUCAAAAGCUUUAGCCUCCAUUUAGACUUUGUACUGAGAACAUGAGAGAGGAGUGGAGCACAGCAUGGGAGUCUCUUCAUCCAGCAAAAGUGGAGUUCAGAUUGUGCAAAGCCACAAUUUCUUAUGGCAACUCAAUAUUAAGCUCUUUUGCAUGUAAACGACAGAUGUCCAAACCCACAAAAAACCUUCCUAGCACUCCAUCCUUUGUCAUUUUCCACUCAAAUAAUUUCAGCAAUAUCAUCUUUAAAAAGAUGGAAGUAAAUUUCUUGUUGUAGGAAGUAAGCAAAAGCCUAAUAGGAAGAAAUUGUUUCAAGUAAAAUUGUCCUCCAUUUUGCGUAUUUUGCUUUAUGCUCCAUUUUGCUCGCUUUGAAUUAGUAAGAAGAAAUUGUUCUGCAUUUAUUCUUUACUGAUUGUGUUAUUGAUUGUUUUUAGAAGGAUAGAAGUUUAUAGCUGUAAUUGCCUUAUUUACUGUUUGAUAUGAGUGAAGAAUGUAUGGUAAUUAAUUGAGAACGGACAGCUAGGCCAGAUGGUCAGGAAGGGAGUGGAGGAGUCGAGAGCCACCAACUUUCACCUGCAUGACAGAUUGACGACCCUAAAGCAAAGGCAUACACCCCAAGGCCAAGAUAAAGAGUGAAGCAAAGGGACGAGAUAGGAAACAACUGCAGAUAACUCCCAGUAACAACCCAAAUAAUGCUGAUGGAAGCAACCUUGAACAGCUCCAGUGUAACACAGCAAGUUCCAGAGGACUUGUAUGGGAACUUAUUACUAUAAAAGAAGGAUGUAUUGUCAUGGGACUUUUGGUUCGCUCUGCAUCAACAUCGGAGCUUCGAACAUGUUCGACAGAGCCCAGCUCCCCAUCCCUCGGGUGUAGUUUCAGCUGGCCACUAGAACUGACCGAGCAACACUAAGGACUGGUAACUAUAAGAUCCAGCUGCAGAACCUUUUGUGUGUGUGUGUGAAUGAAAGCAUAUUCUGAUUUUAAUGCUUAAAUUGUACUCUCAAUAAAUGCAGUGUAUUGCC